AAAAGUAAUUAAAAACGAAAAACAAAGAAGGAGAGUGUAUGAUGUAGUCUACUGUUUGGAUACUCAACGACAAAAACAUGUUAAGCGAAAAAAUGACGCCGAAGAAAGAGUUGUUGUUCUUUCCAUCACAACAACAACAACGACCAACUUAAGAGGAAUAUGAUGUAAGAUAUCUCUAUUAAGAGUCAUGGAGGUAGAAAUAGAGAGCGAAGUCCUUUCUUUUAAACAUUUAAAAGUGUGUUAAUUUUCAGGUACACUUGCUACUUUGGAAAAACUGUUACCUUCCAAGCUCAAUAAACACUAAACUCCAAGAACGUUUGAAUAUAGACGAUCCUCGAAUACAAGCAAAAGGAUAUACAAACUGAAAGUUCAACCAAGAAAGAAACAUAAAAAAAACGACUGGAAACUUGCAUAUUUCAUCAACAAAAGCUAAACUUAAAUCUGUGCACUAAUGUUUAAAGACGUUAAAAAGACUUCUUCCUGUACAAAAAAGCGUCAUAAGAAAUCAUGGUUUCAUCGUGUAAUCACAACAGCAAGGAUUCGUCCAGUGAUUAAGGAUGUAAUACUAUCUAGGGACGUCCCAAAAGGUGUUUGCAACAUCUGCAAGGAGCAAAAGAUUGAAACUGAUUACCAUUGUGGUGGUGUUUGAAAUGCAGCAAAAAAAUACGAAAAAGAAAGACCAGCCUUAUCAGAUAUGCAUGCGAAGGGUCAUGAUACUGUGAAGUGGUAAAUGGUUAGAAAGCACCGAAAAGUCGGCUGGAGAAGAAAUUGAACAAGUGUUUGGUUAUCUGUCAAGACGCUAGAUCAGGGGCGGAUACAGGAUUUUUUUCUUCUUAGCUUAGGAGCCGCUGUUACCCUCCCCCUUUCCCCAAGUGUGGUCUGGGGCGAAGUCUAAGAACCUAUAACUUAUUUACUUAUUUCAGCACUUUAAAAUGCAGCAGACAGGACCUUUAAAACUCCAUUUCUUGCAUGUUAUUUGAAAAAAAAGCAAUCAUAAAAUUCUUAAGUGAAAGCCACAAAAUGAUUUCAGACGAAUUAAGGCUAAAAUUAACUAGAUAGCAAAACUUCUUCUUUCUUUCACAUCCAGAAAAACAUGUUAUGGGUGAAUAUGAUAACUUUUGAGGUUAUAAAUUUUCGGAAACUAGAUUGAGUAAAAAAGACAUAGAUAAUUCUUAUAUUUUGGUAAUGCAAAACAGUAUAUAUUGCUUAUAAAAAUUUUCAUAUUUAAUCUAUUCAAAACAUUCAAUAACAUGAAAAAGGAGACCCUGGAAGAAAAAUAAGCAACAAACAACAACACAAAAAUGCAUAUGUAAAUACACUUUAUUUGCAUUAUUAGAUCAUAGUUACAAAAACAUAGACAACAACAGAUAAAUACAA